CAGCAUCUUCUCUUCUCGCCUCCACAACUCCACCACUCGCUGCUGCUUCGACCCAACACCGCGUGGGCGCGAGCAAGCCGCCGCCGCGCCUCUCUCUCUCUCCCCCCUCCCUCGCUCCCUCCCUCUCUCUCUGUACGAAGCUUCUGGGCGACGAAGAACAAGAGGAGGGAGGGAGGAUUUGUGGGCGAUUUCUUCCGAUCGAACGUGGCUAAUCUAUCCCCUUGCUUUGAUUUGUUUCCAUGUGGAUUCAGGGGCUCUAAUUCCCGUUGUUUUUGUGGCCUCUUUCUCUUUUUUCAGAAGAAACAUCUAGGCGGCGAAGAACUAAAGCAGUGGCUUGAGGAUUUGAGGGCAUUUCUUUCCAUCGAAGGUGAUUACUCUCUUCCCAUUGCUUGAUUUUUGCUUCUACGUUGAUACGGCGAGUCAUUCCCGUUGAUUUUUCUGGGAGUUUGCGCGCAUAUUGCAGAUGUGCUCGUGGGGGGUAUUCUUAGUUGAUUUUAGCACUGAUUAGGCUCUACCCCUUGAAUUCACUUUGUUCCAGGAGGAUUCGGCGCCAUGUAUUUGUUGAUUGUUUUGGCCCUUUUUCAUGGGUUUUUAGGGUGCAUUUUUUGAUGUGGUAGUGCUGAAGGUGGAAUAUUUGGUGGAUUUUGUCGAUUUUGGUACAUGUGUGUAUGCAUUUUUGUGGUGGGGGGGCGGGGGGGGGGAGGGGUGGCUUCCUUUUCAUGAUGUUGUAGAGAUGGGUAUGUGUGAGAUUUCUAGUUGAUUUUUGGUUGGGCAAAGGAGUUAUAUGGGUGUUAAAUUUCAUGUUAAUUUGUAUUUGUUGCAUGGUGCAUAUAGGAUAUAUCAUCAGUAGUUUUCUCUUUUUGAGGAAAUAAUAUAUCAUGUGUAAUUGGUAUCAUGCUUAGUUAUGUUAGUCAGGUGCUUCAUUGUGCUGGAAUCAGAUGGGCACUGAUGUGUUAAAAUACAUGUCACUUUGUGAUAUCGAUUCAGUUAAGUCACAAUAAUUACUGUUGUAGCAAAAUAAAAUCCUUAUAUGGCCGGACCGUACAUUCUACGUGGCGACGACUGAGUCAACAUUUCCUAAGCGUGAGUCAAGACGCCCACGUGACGCAGUCAAUCCUACGUGGCAAAGGAAGACAAGUCAACAAGUCAAGCGUCUCGUGCCAUGGUCAAAGGAUGGAAUGAGCUAGAGUAGGGGGCAAGAAAGGUGUGGGGAUGAGGCUUUUGGUCCAUGGUGGACCAUGGACCAACCCUCAUUUUUGCCCUCAUGGUGCACACAAAAGUUAUAGACCAAGGAGCUAGUUUUACCAUUUUACCCCUACUUUUCUCUCUCCGUCAAGGGUAGCCUUGGUCUUUUGUCAUAGACCCCUAGGCUAUAAAUACCCCUCAUGGGGACAUGUACCAUUCACUCUCACUUGAAUAAACUCAAGGGGAGGGGGCUAGAGUGUUCCCUCUAAGGUUCGCUCUCGCGCGCCGCUCUCGACUGAAAGUCGAUCGGCCCCGAGGAAACCUUUUAGGGGACUCUAGUUUCCAGAAUCUCUCGCUAAAAGGUGUCUUGGGAAGAUCUGCUCGGCCCAAGCCCUUGGCUAACAACCCCCUCGGAGCCUUUCUUAACAUAGGAUUAAGUCGCACCCGCAGGGUUGACCGAAUCUAUUCAAAAAAUAUCGGCGUGUCAACUUGUCCAAGUGUACGGUGACCUUCGCUAUAAGGCCAGCGUACAUGCCCUAGUUUUAUACCUACAGUCGUGCCAUCGAGCAUUGGAACCCCUUACUCUAAUUGUUGUCAAGAACAACAAUAGUGGCGCCGACCGUGGGAACCCUCGCCGCAAUUGAAGAUUUAAUGGCCGAUGAAGGCUACUUCAUCGGGUCCCCAACUUGCCGCGAAGUUUACAUGGUUGCAAACGAAGAAAGCAAGUGCCUCGGGGCUCCUAAGGAAGAAGAAAUCCUCACCAAUCCGGAGGUCCCCGCAAGCAUGGUCGCCACGACGGAAGUUGCGAUCGCCCUUUCGCUACCAGCCGUCUCGGAACGAACCGAGGUGCUCGAAACCGUCGUAGGUGGUCCCUCGACACUCACCAACGUGGUGGCAAGGAUCGGCGAGCUCCCUACGGUUGCCGCCCCCACAGGAGAUACGGAACUCGGCAUGCCUUGCUCGAUGGGCUUCACGCCACCUUCCCUACAACCGGUAGUAACUUUGCCCUCGGAACCUACAAGAGGAAACAAUGUGGCGUCAGGAGGAUCCGCGUCGGAAAACCAAGGAGUUCCAGCCUACGACCCCUCCAACCCGGGAUUGCCUCCGCUGGCGCUCGCCGCGAUCGCCCAUGGAGCUAAUUGUUGUCGAGAACAACAACAAUUACCAAUGUAUAUAUUGAACACGUCGCUCGUUUGAUGGAGGCACUCAAGGUUGUGUUUUUUUAGUACUAUAUGAUUCAAAGAAAUACAUCGAAUAUUAUGAGCUUGUAUUAAUCGACACAUUUAAAUGAGAUAACAACAUUUUAGUUCCCAUUUUGAAUGCAACUCUUAUGCACUAUAUGGGGUUGGUAACUUCAUACACUGCGGCCUGGUAAUUCUGCCCAUGGAUAGUUGGUAACUAUAUGCUCCGUGUAUUGGUAAGUUCAUGCACUGUAUGUUGGUACUUUGUGUAUCAUGUAGGUUUGUACCCUGUGGGGGUAGUAUUUCUCUCCCCAUCUCAUUGGAUGCAGCUUUUGUGCAAUAUGUGUGGUUGGUAACUUUAUGCAUUACUAGUUGGUAACUGUAUGCCGGUUGGUAAAUUCAUGCGCCUUGCAUGUUGGUACCUUUUCCCUGUAAGGUUGGUAAUUCUCUCCCCUCCUAUUCAAUUCAACUUUUUUACACUGUGUGUAGUUGGUAACCUUAUGCAAUGUGGUUUGUUAACUUUAUCCAUAACUGGUUAGUAACUACAUUCGCUGUGUUUUGGUAAGUUCAUGCAUUGCAUGUUGGUAACAUUUGGGUUUGCACCCCUAUGAGGGCCGGUGGCAAUCCCACCCCCUCGCACGCAUCAAUGCAACUUUUGUGCAUUUUGUGGGGUUGGUAACUUUAUGCAUUGUGGAUUAUUAACUUAAUUUAUCCUUAGCUGGUUGGUAACUAUAUGCACUAUGUGUUGGUAACUUCAUGAAUUGUAGGUUGCUAACUUGUGUACCAUGUAGGAGCAGUAUUUCUCCCCUCUCAUUGAAUGCAACAUGUUUUCUGCAGUGUGUGUGUGUCUCUAUGUGUGUGUGUGUGGGGGGGUAAAUUUAUGCCCUAUGUAUUAUCCUUAGAUUGGUCAUAUAUGCAUUGAGUGUUGGUAAUUUCAUGCAUUGUAUGUUGGUAGCUUGUGUAUACCCCUGUAGGGGUGGUAAUUCUCCCUCAACCACCCGCCCCCUCUCAAUGAAUGCAACUAGCUUUAUUUCCUUAUGUGGGGUUGGUAACUUUAUGCGCUAUGUACCAGUAACUUUAUACGUCAUGGGUUGGUCACUUUAUGCGUUGUGUGUUGGUAACUUUAUCCAUGGUUGGUAGCCUUUUGCAUUAUGUAUUGAUAAGUUUAUGCAUUUUAUGUUGCUAACUUUUGUACCAUGUAGGUUUUUUCCCUGCAUUUGUUUGUUGGUAAAGAUUGAGUAGGAUGCGUUUUGAGUCUCCUAAAUUUGAACAAUGGGGAGGUUUCCUCUCAGAUAUUAAAGUGGGUAACUUUGUGUCGAUAGAUAUGAUGGUUUGUGUUCUAGGUAGGUAACUUCAGACAAGUUUUGGGAAGUGACCUCCAUGGAGAUCUGCGCCGUCAUGAGGACGAGGAAGAAGCGAACGAGGACAAAGAGAACGAAAAAGAAGCAGGGGGUUGGUAAUAUGCGCUUUGGGCUUGAGCCAACAUGCUGGCUUGGUCUGGCCCUGGGAUCUACAGACUAGCUUGUACAAAAGGUUUACUGUUAGAACCAACAACUAACUACUUGUGAAUAACUCUCAUAUUAUUGGUUGAUAACUUCUCAGAUAACAAAAGGUGUCCAAACAUCUCAAAUUGAGAUCUAGUUUAUAUAGCAGAUAACUACUUAUGAAUGGGUAUAGUAACUCAUGUAUCAUUGCAUGGUAACUUUUGAGUUCGAAAAAAUAUAUCUUGAAACA
rnacentral:lncRNA from 1 species